AAGCGUGGGGAGCAAACAGGAUUAGAUACCCUGGUAGUCCACGCAGUAAACGAUGAAUGUUAGUCGUUGGUAUCCUAGGGAUAUCAGUGAUGCAGUUAACACAUUAAACAUUCCCGCCUGGGGAGUACGGUCGCAAGAUUAAAACUCAAAGGAAUAGACGGGGACCCGCACAAGUGGUGGAGCAUGUGGUUUAAUUCGAAGAUACGCGAAGAACCUUACCUAGCCUUGACAUAUUUAAGAACUCAGCAGAGAUGCAGAGGUGCCUUCGGGAGCUUUCUUACAGGUGCUGCACGGCUGUCGUCAGCUCGUGUCGUGAGAUGUUGGGUUAAGUCCCGCAACGAGCGCAACCCUCGUCACUAGUUACUAACGGUUCGGCCGAGGACUCUAGUGAGACUGCCUUCGUAAGGAGGAGGAAGGUGAGGACGACGUCAAGUCAUCAUGGCCCUUACGGCUAGGGCAACACACGUGCUACAAUGGUUAGGACAAUGAGAAGCAAUAUCGCGAGGUGGAGCAAAUCUAUAAACCUAAUCUCAGUUCGGAUUGUAGUCUGCAACUCGACUACAUGAAGCUGGAAUCACUAGUAAUCGUAGAUCAGCUAUGCUACGGUGAAUACGUUCCCGGGUCUUGUACUCACCGCCCGUCACACCAUG
rnacentral:rRNA from 1 species